GCAAAAUCCACUCCAAUAGACAGCAUUCAUUUAGGCUUCUUGGCAGCGAAUGCAACACGAAAGGAGGACUUAAUUAAAAAGGGCCUGUGACAUUAGGCAAACCACCGAGACUGGGCUCGGGGGUGGGGGGUGGAGGGCGGCACGUUCAACUCGGGAACAAAGGCUCCCUGUUGCCCCAAAACCAUCAUAGCACCUGUUUUUUGCCAGGACAGAUACAUUUUGGGCAGGAAAGGAAGUUAUCCUCUGAAAUGCAGAAAGAGGCUAUGGGUAGGAUCCAGCAGCACAGCAGGAGAGGAGGGUCUGAGAAGUCCCAAGAGCCUCUGCGGCCCAGCAGCCGGUGAGGCCCCGCCUGAGGUCAAGAGGAGGAAGCUGGCCCUGCCUUGGAGGAACGUAACAAAUCAUAUUCUUCCCUGCUUCGGUCAAGUGUCUGCAGGGAGCGUGGCUGAAGUAAGGGAUGGGUUCGUGGUGGGAUGUUACAAAGCCUUGGUGGAAGCCUCUUUUCCUCCUCCCGAUCCUCCCAGGGUAACAAGUGGUAUGGAGUGUUCCUGUCCUUGGAGUGAGGCCUAAAGGUGAGGAGUGAGACAUCCGUCCACAGGCCUCCUUCGGGGGGCCUCCCAGUGGGCUGCGCUUCCUGGCUCUCUCGUGCUUGAAGGUAACAAGUGCUUUGCCCCCUGCACAGGCUCCAUUCUGCUUUGCACCAUGCAUUUUGCUGGACACAUGGGAAACGAGGGAUGAGACUUUACCUCUGAUUUAGUCAGGUUUUCUGAGGGAGGCAGACCAGAUAAAAAAAAAAAAAAGAAGCAGCAGCAGCAGCACACUGGGGUAUGACAGAGACAUUGCUGGAAGAGGGGAAGGAGCACAGAACAAGCAGGCCCAGGAGGGCUGAGAGAGCUGCAGUCUAGGGCCCUUUGGCUCCACUGCCCCGUUUUCCUCCCUCUCGCUUCUGUGGGAUGAUUUUCCCCCACGCAGACUUGAAGCCUCAGAAAGGCAGGGAUCAAAUCCACCAUUUCCAUUGAUUUCCAUGGGUCCCCUAUACAGCCCAAUGGACACUGUAUCCCCUUCAGAAAGGGAUUUCCAGAAAGAUGAUCUAUUCCUUUCUCUCCUUCCCUGAAUGUGAGAAUGGAGCGGUCAGGACAAGGGUGCUAGGGUUUGCACCACUAUGUCUAGCUUGGUGAGUCUGAGGAAGUUCGAGGCCGACCAGACCUCUUGGAGUCCGUUUUCCCCCUCUGAAAAAUGUAAAGUAGAUGAGAUAACCUCUAAAAAUCUAGGAUUCUACAACAUACUCUAGCAAGAUCUGUACUUUCUAGGUUGUUCUCUGCAAGGACGCAAGGACAUGAGGAAAGACCAUGAGUCGGUCACGCCAAUUCCGUAGUUCAUAACAAGUAGGUACAAAAGGAGAAACUGAGUAAUAAAAGCAUGUGAUAAAACCAAGAUGGAGCUUUCUUAAAUUUUUAUAGCAAAGAAGAAGGAGGAGGAGGAGGGGAAGGAAGAGGAGGAGGAGGAGGAGAAGAAGGAGGAGGAGGAGGAGGAGGAGGAGGAGGAGGAGAAGAAGAAGAAAUAAAUCCAUGGAGUAGCAGCAACAGCACAGAUCUGGAGUGAGAAACACCCCAGUCCAGCUCCCAGCUCUAACCAACCCUUACUUGCUGGGCAACUCUGGCAAAUUACUUAACCUCAGUAUUAAUUGCUUAUUAUUUAAACAGAACUCUAAUUAGCCACUAAUUUAUUAAAUCAUCUCAUUGAGUUUGUGUGAGCACUAAAUAAAAUAAUACAAUGUUACUCACAGUGUCUUAAUUCUUAAUUAAUUAAUUUUUAAUUAACCUAAUAAAUGUUUUCCAAAGGAAUGAAUAUCAGUUUCCCUCCAAGAGAUGCUUAAUUUUGUACCCUGGUUCACAGACAGGGUGACUCCAUAUUUUGGUUUGCUUGUGUUUUGGCACAAUUAUUGUUUGUUUUCCUUUUCACUUUCAGAAAAUGUACUGAUCUGCUGGUCCCGUCCAUUAAAUUCAAUACUGAAGACAUUUAUGGGGUGUCCACCAUGCAAAGUCAAGCUUAUCUUUCUGGUGCCUUCCUUUGGAAUCCUCUCUCUGUGUCGUCGUUAAUUUGAACCUGGCACAGAGCACACGUGAAGUGGCUGCGAUCACCCAUGGUCUUUUGCUCUCUCGGCUUUCAGGAAAGGUGGACAGCACACUCGGUACCACACUGCAGAGGUGGGGUUGAACCCAAAGGAUGAAGCCUUAAUAGCGGUAGACCCACCAGCCUCAGACUGGUCUUGCCUCCUGGCGAGCCUUAUCCUGGGCCUUGGGUAACUCAUCAUUUCUACUUCUGGGGUGUAGAAAGUGGGAAAUUAAAAAAGAAGCCAAGAUUUGUUGAGCUCCUGCUACGGUCUGAACGUGUUCCCCUCCUCCCUGUUCACAUGUUGAAAUCCUAGGGCUCACUGUGAUGGCAUUAGGAGGUGGGGCCUGUGGGAGGUGAUAAAGUCAUGAGGAUGGAGCCCUCAGGAGAGGGAUUAGCGUCUUACAAGAGGCCCUGGAGAAGCCUCCUGAACCUUGUGCCAUGUGAGGGUAAGGAGAAACCUGCCAUCUGGGAGGGCCCUCACCCAACUAGGCCAGCGCUCUGGUCUCGGGCUUCCGGACUCUAGCUCCGAGCCAGAGUUUACAGCCACCCAGUCUGUGGUAUUUUGUGACAGCAGACUGAACAGACUCAGACACUACCCCUGGGCACAUUUUACAGAUACUACGGCAUUGACUCAUCGCUGCAGAUCUGGGCGACAGGUGUGGUUCCCAUUCACACCUGAGAAUACUGAGGCUGGACCAGAGGAGGUAGGAUCCUGGAGCCGAGGAGUCUAAACAGCACAGGUGACCAGGUGAGAAGGAGGCACUGUGCCCUCAGGCGUCUCGUUGGAUUUAGGAGGUAUUUGUAAAACACGAAGCCCCUUAGGAUGCACGCUUCUAUUAGCAGAAAACAACCAGAGUAACUUUCUCAUUAUUUGUCUAUAUUUGCUUCCUGGAAUUUGCAAAUCUCAGAUAUUGCUCUGGUAUCAAUGAUUAUGAAUGCUUUUUGGCAGGAGAAAAUGGUUCGAGUCGCAUUCCAAGGGUUGGGAGAACUUCUCCAUCUGUUCUCUUUGAAUCAAAAGGAUCCUGAUAAGGUGUACAAAUAGCUAAAGAAGAAAGUGUGGUUUUCAUCCAAAAAGCACGCAUACAUGGAAAAGCUGAUGAAGAGUGCCUUGUAUCCCCAUCACAUCACUGGCUGACUGGACAAUUUAUAAACAGGAGGGGAAAAAAGGUCAUAGUUGGAAAUUUCAGCUGAAACUGACACCCCUGUCCAAAUAGCAAAUCAGCACAGAAUCAAAAAAUUCUAAUUUUACAAUUCACAGAUGCUUCCAAUUAGAACAGGGAAGGUUAAUGUGGUUUCAGCUGUGACUUGAAAAAAUUAAAAUGUGCCAAGGAAACCAAGACAGAGUUGGUACAAAGGAGUUUCUUUUUCUACUGAAAUAUUUACUCCUCCAAAAAUAAUAAUCACGGAGGCUUCAGGCCCCCUUUUUCCUGAGAAGUCACACUUAACACUCUUCAGUUUCUUUUAUGGUUGUGAACACAGCACAGACCCACACAUGCCUCCACUUUGCAAAAUAAACACACACCUUCCUGCUGUCUAGAAGACCGCUAGUUAAUCUGGGUCUCUGAGCAGUAAGCGUUUUGGAACACGGCUCUGUUCUAACAUGAACUUCUGAUUUUUCCAAGCAAAUAAUCAUCAAACCUGAGAGUCUGAAAUUGCUGUUCCUCUAACUCAGGGGCUCCUUGUUUACAGGUAUGUGAAAGAUAAAGAGGCAAAAAAACAUCCUAUGUGUUGAUUUUUCUGAUGUGGAUUUGAGAAGCAGUCACACAAAGUUUUUCCCACUGAGUCAUACAUUUCUGUGGCCUUUGAGAAACGGGCUAGGAGCUCAGAGCCCUAGCAAGACCCUCUGAAACUGUACAGGCCCCCAGGCCAAGGACAAGCUGAACUUGUAAAAGCUCGCAUCCAUUUUAUGCUAGCAUUUACGAGACAAUUCUACGAGCAGGCAUCUGCACCCUAUCUUGAAGCAAUUUGUAAGCGGAAGACUCUGCCCACUUUCAUUCAUUAUAUAAACAUUUCUGGAGCUAUCAGCACAUAUUAGUCAUGAAAGCUGGAAUUUAAUAAAGGAGAACCGAAUGCAGUUUUCAAAGAGGACAAAAGUUCACUGGGAAAACAUAUGUACAAACCUCAGGGACCCUGAUUCCUGGAAGCACAUGUAAGAGACAGUUUAAGCGCCUGGAACCAAAUGUCUAAAAGGGCUACUCAUCAAGAGUGAAGCGGGAGGGGGCGCCGGGAGACAUCUGACCUGUCAUUCAGACCAAGUGUAGCCUCCCAACUAUAAAUGUCUUUAAAGGAAGAAGUCUCAAAAAACUCAAGGUCAGUAAUGUUCAAGGACAAGAAAGUGUUUACUUUCAAAUGACCAGGGAAAGAUGCCAGCUUCUUGGGUUAGAGUAAGUCCCAACUGAAUCCACUCAACUCAAAUCACCAGCGUUAUUGUGAAGCUCAAGAGCAGAGGCUCAGACGCACACAGAUGCCAAUCUCAAGUCUGCUGGUUCGUAGCUCAGUGACCUUGACAAAUGACUACCUUUGAGCCUCAGUUUUCUCAUCUGUAAAACAGGGAGAAUGAAACAUUUCUAAUAAAGUUGUAUAUGACAAUUAAAAGAAAUAACAUAUGGAAAACAGUACAAUGCCUGGCAGGUUUGGUCAGUGCUCAACAGAAGAAAGCUUAUUUUCCUAUAUUCCAUGUAAAAAAGCUUAGGAAAUCCUUCACAUCCUGGGCUUAUGUUAAUAGAAUAUAAUAAGUAAGGUUAUGAAAAGUUGACUUGAUCUGAUUUAUGUACGUACGAGCUAUAUGCUUUCAAUAUUAUUGCUUUCUCUCAG
ensembl:lincRNA